rnacentral:lncRNA from 1 species
GGUGUAUGGAAAUCUUUUAUGAUCAAUACGUCAGUCGUGCAGGUUUUAUUUGACCUUGACCUGGUUUUCACGGUUCAUUGCUCAGUGUUUCGUUUUUGUGUUUUGGACUAUUUUUCUUAAACUAUAAGCAAAAGGUCAACUAUAUUUGUUGUAUGGAAGCAUUGUUAGCUGUACAUGCCUGCCUGGCAUGGUUUAUCUGACCUUGACCUCAUUUCAUGGUUCAUUGAUCAAUGUUUAGUUUU